rnacentral:rRNA from 1 species
AGCGCACGGCCCGGCAUGGGACAGAGUGAAAAACUCCGGUGGUGCAAGAUGGACCCGCGUCUGAUUAGCUGGUUGGCGGGGUAAAGGCCCACCAAGGCGACGAUCAGUAGCCGGCCUGAGAGGGUGGACGGCCACAUUGGGACUGAGACACGGCCCAAACUCCUACGGGAGGCAGCAGUGGGGGAUAUUGGACAAUGGUUUUUUUUUUGAUCCAGCGACGCCGCGUGAGUGAAGAUGUAUUUCGGUAUGUAAAGCUCUGUUUUCAGGGACGAAAGCAAUGACGGUACCUGACCAAGAAGCCCCGGCUAACUACGUGCCAGCAGCCGCGGUAAUACGUAGGGGGCAAGCGUUAUCCGGAAUUACUGGGUGUAAAGGGAGCGUAGACGGCUGUGCAAGUCUGGAGUGAAAGGCGGGGGCCCAACCCCCGGACUGCUCUGGAAACUGUAUGGCUGGAGUGCAGGAGAGGUAAGCGGAAUUCCNAGNGNAGCGGNGAAANGCGCAGAUUUUUUGGGGAACCCCCCCNNCNNNNNCCCCCCCCCCCCCCNNNCNNNCNNCCCGCUCCAAACNCNNGNGCCUUUUAGGAGGAANNNNGGNGUNCANGCAAAAAAGGCCCUUGACGCAUCGGUGGGUAUGGACCCAUCGGUGCCGCAGCAAACGCAGUAAGUAAUCCACCUGGGGAGUACGUUCGCAAGAAUGAAACUCAAAGGAAUUGACGGGGACCCGCACAAGCGGUGGAGCAUGUGGUAUAAUAAGAAGCAACGCGAAGAACCUUACCAAGUCUUGACAUCUGGAUGACAGGGACGUAAAAAUCCCCUUACUUCGGUACAUCCAAGACAGGUGGUGCAUGGUUGUCGUCAGCUCGUGUCGUGAGAUGUUGGGUUAAGUCCCGCAACGAGCGCAACCCUUAUCCUUAGUAGCCAGCGGGCAGGGCCGGGCACUCUAGGGAGACUGCCGGGGAUAACCCGGAGGAAGGUGGGGAUGACGUCAAAUCAUCAUGCCCCUUAUGAUUUGGGCUACACACGUGCUACAAUGGAAUAUACAGAGGGAAGCGAACCCGCGAGGGGGAGCAAAUCCCAAAAAUAACGUCCCAGUUCGGAUUGUAGCUUAAGACCCGGCUACAUGAAGCUGGAAUCGCUAGUAA